rnacentral:tRNA from 1 species
GGGGCUGUAGCUCAGCUGGGAGAGCACGACACUGGCAGUGUCGGGGUCAGGGGUUCGAGUCCCCUCAGCUCCACCC